rnacentral:lncRNA from 1 species
AACUUCUAGGAAAAAUUAAUUUUCCUCCCUCUCCUUUCUCUUUUUUCUAGACUUGAAAACUCUCUCUUUUAUGCUUAGAAGCUUUUGUCUUGGUGUGAAAAAUGUAUAUGCAUUGGGGCCUAUUUAUAGGUGAAAAUCUCACAACUUAAGGGCAAGUGAAGGGCCUAAUACUCAUUAAUACGGGUGCCAUUUAUGUGGGAGUUAUAGGUUUAAGAAGGUGCUAGAAAAUCGUGUAGGAAUUUGACUUUUCAUAUUCCGCGUACUUCG